GAUGAACGCUGGCGGCGUGCCUAAUACAUGCAAGUCGAGCGAACAGACGAGGAGCUUGCUCCUCUGACGUUAGCGGCGGACGGGUGAGUAACACGUGGAUAACCUACCUAUAAGACUGGGAUAACUUCGGGAAACCGGAGCUAAUACCGGGUAAUAUAUUGAACCGCAUGGUUCAAUAGUGAAAGACGGUUUUGCUGUCACUUAUAGAUGGAUCCGCGCCGCAUUAGCUAGUUGGUAAGGUAACGGCUUACCAAGGCGACGAUGCGUAGCCGACCUGAGAGGGUGAUCGGCCACACUGGAACUGAGACACGGUCCAGACUCUUACGGGAGGCAGCAGUAGGGAAUCUUCCGCAAUGGGCGAAAGCCUGACGGAGCAACGCCGCGUGAGUGAUGAAGGUCUUCGGAUCGUAAAACUCUGUUAUUAGGGAAGAACAAAUGUGUAAGUAACUAUGCACGUCUUGACGGUACCUAAUCAGAAAGCCACGGCUAACUACGUG
rnacentral:rRNA from 1 species